rnacentral:rRNA from 1 species
AAUGAACGUUGGCGGCAUGGAUUAGGCAUGCAAGUCGAGCGAGAAGUUUAAGUUUGACGCUUCGGUUGAUUUCUUAAAUGGACAGCGGCGCAUGGGAGAGUAACGCGUAGUUAUCUACCCUAGGGUCCGGAAUAGCCACGGGAAACUGUGGGUAAUGCCGGAUAAUAUCCCCGGAUCAAAGGUGUGAUUCCGCCCUAGGAGGAGACUGCGUACUACUAGCUUGUUGGUGGGGUAAUGGCCUACCAAGGCUUUGAUGGUUAGCGGGCGUGAGAGCGUGGCCCGUCUCACUGGGACUGAAACACUGCCCAGACAUCUACGGAUGGCUGCAGUCGAGAAUCUUCGGCAAUGGGCGAAAGCCUGACCGAGCGAUGCCGCGUGCGGGAUGAAGGCCCUCGGGUUGUAAACCGCUGUCAGUUUGGGAGGAAGGGUCCGUGAAGAGCGGAUCUUGACCUAUCUUCAGAGGAAGUCCGGGCUAAGUUCGUGCCAGCAGCCGCGGUAAU